rnacentral:rRNA from 1 species
AUAGGGGAGCCGCAGGGAAACCGAGUCUUAACUGGGCGUUAAGUUGCAGGGUAUAGACCCGAAACCCGGUGAUCUAGCCAUGGGCAGGUUGAAGGUUGGGUAACACUAACUGGAGGACCGAACCGACUAAUGUUGAAAAAUUAGCGGAUGACCUGUGGCUGGGGGUGAAAGGCCAAUCAAACCGGGAGAUAGCUGGUUCUCCCCGAAAGCUAUUUAGGUAGCGCCUCGUGAACUCAUCUCCGGGGGUAGAGCACUGUUUCGGCUAGGGGGCCAUCCCGGCUUACCAACCCGAUGCAAACUGCGAAUACCGGAGAAUGUUAUCACGGGAGACACACGGCGGGUGCUAACGUCCGUCGUGAAGAGGGAAACAACCCAGACCGCCAGCUAAGGUCCCAAAGUCAUGGUUAAGUGGGAAACGAUGUGGGAAGGCCCAGACAGCCAGGAUGUUGGCUUAGAAGCAGCCAUCAUUUAAAGAAAGCGUAAUAGCUCACUGGUCGAGUCGGCCUGCGCGGAAGAUGUAACGGGGCUAAACCAUGCACCGAAGCUGCGGCAGCGAC